UUUGAUGGCGACCGGCGCACGGGUGAGUAACACGUAUCCAACCUGCCGAUGACUCGGGGGAUAGCCUUUCGAAAGAAAGAUUAAUACCCGAUGGCAUAGUUCUUCCGCAUGGUAGAACUAUUAAAGAAUUUCGGUCAUCGAUGGGGAUGCGUUCCAUUAGGUUGUUGGCGGGGGUAACGGCCCACCAAGCCUUCGAUGGAUAGGGGUUCUGAGAGGAAGGUCCCCCACAUUGGAACUGAGACACGGUCCAAACUCCUACGGGGAGGCAGCAUG
rnacentral:rRNA from 1 species